GUUUCCGUAGUGUAGCGGUUAUCACGUUCGCCUCACACGCGAAAGGUCCCCGGUUCGAUCCCGGGCGGAAACACC